rnacentral:rRNA from 1 species
CGCUGGCGGCGUGCCUAAUACAUGCAAGUCGAACGCAGUAGCAAUACUGAGUGGCGCACGGGUGAGUAACACGUGGAUAAUCUCCCAUUGAGUGGGGAAUAACCUUUCGAAAGAAGGGCUAAUACCGCAUAAGACCACAGGAUCUUCGGAUCUAGGGGUCAAAGGGGGGCGUAAGCCUCUCGCUUAAUGAUGAGUCCGCGCCCGAUUAGCUAGUUGGUGAGGUAAUGGCUCACCAAGGCAUUUAUCGGUAGCUGGUCUGAGAGGAUGACCAGUCACACUGGAACUGAGACACGGUCCAGACUCCUACGGGAGGCAGCAGUAGGGAAUAUUGCGCAAUGGGCGAAAGCCUGACGCAGCGACGCCGCGUGAGUGAUGAAGGCCUUCGGGUCGUAAAGCUCUGUUGUACGGGAAGAAGUUUGCAGUGCUAAUACCAUUGUAAAUUGACGGUACCGUAUAAGAAAGGACCGGCUAACUUCGUGCCAGCAGCCGCGGUAAG